CUCACAGCGUAGGCUCAGGCCCUAGGAAGAGUGGAGGAGCUGCUGGAGCAGCAGAUGCGGCGAGGACUGCUGGACCUGGGGAUCCUGCUACCUGGCCUGUUGCCGUCUGUGGCCCACCAGCCCCAUUAGGGCAGCAACAACGCCCAGAGGAGCCUCUCGCUUAACCAGGUUCAAGGAGCAGCUGAACCUCGGCCCACAUCUCAGGGAAUCAGCAGUGAGUCCAGAUCUCACCGCACCUUCCCGGAAGUCACUUGGUCCCUGGAGAUUCAAAACCGUGUGAGGCACAAACAGCAGCGAUGGUCUCUGGUCUCCACCGACUUGGCCGAACUUCCAACUUCUUCUGAAUAAACCUUGGGACUUAAGGAGAACCUGCAACAAAUCCAGCUGAAUCUCUGCACUCCCAUAAAGAGACCUGGCAGUCUCUCUCAGAACAUGUCCCUUGGGAGCUCCAAGUCAACCUGCAACAAAUCCAGAAGCUUCCUUGCCUGAGAGACCACAUGGAAAGGUGAACUCACCAUCUUUGGAGUCACCUGAUGUCUAUAGCUCUUGUUGGGUAAGGGUGAAGAUUGCACUGUGAGAGCCUCAACAAUGAACACUAAUAUGAUUUGGGAACAAGAUAUACAAGAAGAGAUAGACUAUGAACCACCUUCAGAUACAGAAUAAGAACAAAAAAAGAGAAAACAAAAUACAGGUUUCUGAAUCUGUCAUGAGGCAUAACAAGACCUAGGCCAUCUGGUGACCAAAGAAUUAAAGACUGAGGGUCCUCAAAAACUCUAUUGAAAAAGAAGAACAAAAUUAGAGGACUCACAUGUGCUGAUUUCAACUUACUACAAAGCUACAGUACUAAGUACUUGUAUUGGCACAAAGAUAGACAUAGAUGAAUAGAAUAGAACUGUGAUUCCAGAAAUAUAUCCUUUGUUCAAUUGGUCUUUGAUACACCAAGAUAAUUCAGUAGGGAAAAGAACAGUCUUUCAAUAAAUGGUGCUGGGGACAACUGGACAUCCACAUGCCAAAGUAUGAAGCUGGAUGCUUACCUAACGCUAUGCACAAACAUUAACUCAAAAUUAAUUAACAUUCUAAUGUGACAGCUAAAACCAUAAAGCCCUUGAGGGAAACAUAGCAAUAACUAUUCAAGACCUUAGAUUAGGCAAUGCAUUCUUAAACACCAAAAGAAAAAAUAUAGGUAAAUUGGAUUUCACCAAAAUGAAAAACUUUUUUGCUUCAAUAGAUGACAUCAAAGAAGUAAAAAGACAACAUACGCAAUGGGAGAAAAUAUUUGCAAAUCAUAGAUCUGAUGAGAGACAUGUAUCUAGAAUAUAUUAAGAACUCUUACAAUUCAAUAAGAAAAACAAAAUCCCCAAUUACAAAAUGGGCAAAGGAUUUGAGUGGCAUUUUCUCCAAAGAAGAUAUGGAAGUGGACAAUAAGUACAUGAAAAGAUACUCCGCAUCAUUAGUCAUUAGGGAAAUGUACAUCAAAGCCACAAUGAGAUACCACCUCACACACAUCAGAAUGGCUGUAUUUAAAAAGACAGACAAUAACAAGUCUUGGCAAGGAUGUUGGGAAAUUGGAGCCCUCCUUGCUGAUGGAAAUGUAAACCGGUGCAGCCACUUUGGAAAAUAUCUGGCAGUUCUUUGGACGUUAAACACAUAGUUAUCACUUGACCCAGCAAUCCUAAGUGAACAUCUAAGAGAAAUGAAAACAUAUUUCCACACAAAAACAUGUACAGGAAUGAGAUGAUUUGGGUGUCAACUUUAAUGGAUUAGGAAUACCCAGAUGGUUGGCAAAGAAUUAUUUUCAAUGAUUUGGUAGGCACUGAGCCAGGAAGGGCGAAUUCUUGCUCUCUCUUCUGCCCUUGGAUGUCAGAACUCCAGGUUCUCUGGCCUUUCAUGAUACUCCAUACAGCACUGCUUCUGACCACCACUCACCAUCCAUCACCCCUAGUGACCUGCUAGAGGAGUUAUUACUUCCUAUUUCCAACUUUAUGCUCUGCUGGCCUAGAGGUCUUCCUUCCAUAGGGAGAAAUGCUACCACCAGGAGAUACAACAAUAAUUCAACUGAACUGGAAGUUAAGAUGCUAUCUGACCACUUUGGGCUUCUCAUGCCUCAGAGUCAUGCUAAGAAGGGAGUCAAAGUGUUGGCUGUCUGACCUGAUACCAAGAAGAAAUUGGCCUACUCCUUCACAAGGGAGAAAUAGGAGAUCCUCUAGGGCAUCUCUUGGUGUUACCAUGCCUGUGAUUCUGGUCAAUGGGAAAUGACCACAACCCAAUCCAGGCAGGCUAUGAAUGUCCCAGGCCUUUCAGGUAUGAAGGUUUGGGUCACCCUGCCAGGUACAGCACGGCAACCAGCUGAGGUCUUGCUGCAGGCAAACAGAACACAGCAGGUGGUAGAAGGUCAUUAGGAGCACCAGCUACACCCACGGGACCAGUUACAGAAUCAAAGGCUGCCACUGCCAUGAGUGUUUUCUCCCUGUGUUGCUACGAAUAUGUUUGCAUGUAAAUAUACAUAUAUUAGGCAAAUUUUUCUUCUUUUCUAUCUUACUCCUUUAUCAUAUGAGAUGUAUUGAGUUUGCAUCAGUAUUUAAGUAUUGUUAAUUUUACACCAUAGUGUUUAAGUUACAGGAGAGGAGUAAAUGUCACUCAAGGACUUCACUUCCUCCUCUGGGGAAGGAAUUAGUGUGUUUUUAUUGUACGAAUUGUAUCAUGCUAGGUGGAACUAUGACCUUGUCAUUAUCUUUUUAAGAGAUUAAAUAUGGUUUAAGGAGAUGCAUGUGGGUGCCAAGUUGACAAGGGGUGGACUUGUGAUGGUUGAUUAUAAGUGUCAACCUGACUGGAUCAAGAGAUGCCCAGGUAGCUGGGAGGCCAUUGAUCAUCCUCAGUACUCCAGGAGGCACUGAGCCCAUCCCUCUUCUGCCAAAAGAGAAACCUAGGAAGAUUGGCAUUUGAUUAGAAUGAUUGAUCUGUCCAAGGUAUGUCUGUGAGGGUGUUUCUGGGGGAGACUGAGGUGUGAGUUGUUGGACUGAGUGGGGAAGGUCCACCUGCAUUGAUCUGCCCUCAAUGAUCUGGGCUAAAGGCCUGGAUGGAACAAAGGUAGAGGAAGACUGAAUUCUUGUUUUCUCUUGGGGAGCUGGGACCCCUUCUUCUCUUGCCCUGGAUGUCAGAACCCCUGGUUCUCUGACCUUUGGACUCUGGGACUUAACACAGUGACCCCCUGGGCUCUUGAGCCUUUGGUGUCAGAUUGAGAGUUACACCAUCAGCUUUCUUGAUUCUGAAGACUUCAGACUUGGACUGAACCACUCUACCAGCUUCCCUGGUUCUCCAGCUUGCAGAUGACCUGUCAUGGGACUUCUCAGCCUCCAAAAUUGCAUGAGCUAAUUCCGCUAAAAAAUCCCCUUCUUAUCUUUCUCUCUGUACAUGCAUCCUAUUGGCUCUGUGUCUAAGAAGAGCACAUACUAAAACAAAGAAUGUCAUAGGGAACUAUUCAAAAUAGCCCAAAAUGGAAACUACCCAAAUGCCCAUCAACUGAUGAAAGGACAUAAGGUGGGACACACACACACACAAACACAAACACACCCAACAUACACAAAAAUACAAAAACACAAACACACACACACAAACACAUACACACAAACAUACAAACACAAACAUACAAACAUACAUACACACACACAAACAAAAAACAAAAAAAACACAUAAAAAUACAAAGACACAAACACAUAAAACACACAAAAAUA